CCUACGGGGGGCUGCAGUGGGGAAUUUUGGACAAUGGGCGCAAGCCUGAUCCAGCAAUGCCGCGUGCAGGAAGAAGGCCUUCGGGUUGUAAACUGCUUUUGUACGGAACGAAACGGUCUGGGUUAAUACCCUGGGCUAAUGACGGUACCGUAAGAAUAAGCACCGGCUAACUACGUGCCAGCAGCCGCGGUAAUACGUAGGGUGCAAGCGUUAAUCGGAAUUACUGGGCGUAAAGCGUGCGCAGGCGGUUUUGUAAGACAGGCGUGAAAUCCCCGGGCUCAACCUGGGAAUUGCGCUUGUGACUGCAAGGCUGGAGUGCGGCAGAGGGGGAUGGAAUUCCGCGUGUAGCAGUGAAAUGCGUAGAUAUGCGGAGGAACACCGAUGGCGAAGGCAAUCCCCUGGGCCUGCACUGACGCUCAUGCACGAAAGCGUGGGGAGCAAACAGGAUUAGAUACCCGAGUAGUC
rnacentral:rRNA from 1 species